CACUUCUCAAGUUUGGCC
rnacentral:rRNA from 1 species